UCUCUUAAGGCCUCAGUCACAACGGAAGCUGAGGAUGGGUUGCUUGUUGUCCAUGCUUUCUCAAGCCACUGGCAGUAUUAGUUCCUUGUAGCUGGAUACAUAAUUGUUUCAUUUCUUCACAGCCAGCAAUCAAGAGGGAGAAUCUAAAACCAGUCUGCUAGAAGAGUCUUCUAUCACAUAGCAAGGGAAUGGAAUGGCUUACUCCUCUGCCCUCUGCUGGUUAGAAGCAAGUCACGGUCCCUUCCACACCUAAGGGAAAAGAGUUACAUGCCAAACCUCAGAAGAUCUGAGAAUUCUGUCGGCCACAUCACCCAAGGAUCCUCCUCUGGUCCCAUACAUCAGAACUACUUGGAAGAUCCUGUGAGAGGAAGCCCAGUUGCUCAUCUUGCCAUGCGCUGCCCACAGACACACGUCUCUGCAGUGGCCUUGAUCAUUUGCUGCACUUGCACCAUUUAUGUGAGUGUCCUUGGGUGUAUUUAUACAUUGCCUUUUUCAUGGUUGUAACUCCAGAGCACUUGUAAAGCCAUUGCCCAGAAAACACUUGUUAA
rnacentral:lncRNA from 1 species